rnacentral:rRNA from 1 species
GACGAACGCUGGCGGCGUGCCUAAUGCAUGCAAGUCGAGCGGACGAAUCGAAAGCUUGCUUUUGAUUCGUUAGCGGCGGACGGGUGAGUAACACGUGGGCAACCUGCCCUGUAGACGGGGAUAACACCGAGAAAUCGGUGCUAAUACCGGAUAACACGAAAUGUCGCAUGACGUUUCGUUGAAAGACGGCGCAAGCUGUCGCUACAGGAUGGGCCCGCGGCGCAUUAGCUAGUUGGUGAGGUAACGGCUCACCAAGGCGACGAUGCGUAGCCGACCUGAGAGGGUGAUCGGCCACACUGGGACUGAGACACGGCCCAGACUCCUACGGGAGGCAGCAGUAGGGAAUCUUCCGCAAUGGACGAAAGUCUGACGGAGCAACGCCGCGUGAGCGAAGAAGGCCUUCGGGUCGUAAAGCUCUGUUGUUAGGGAAGAACAAGUAACGCAGUAACUGGCGUUACCGUGACGGUACCUAACGAGAAAGCCACGGCUAACUACGUG